GAUGAACGCUAGCGGCAGGCUUAACACAUGCAAGUCGAGGGGCAGCAUAAUGGAUAGCAAUAUCUAUGGUGGCGACCGGCGCACGGGUGCGUAACGCGUAUGCAACCUACCUUUAACAGGGGGAUAACACUGAGAAAUUGGUACUAAUACCCCAUAAUAUCAUAGAAGGCAUCUUUUAUGGUUGAAAAUUCCGGUGGUUAGAGAUGGGCAUGCGUUGUAUUAGCUAGUUGGUGGGGUAACGGCUCACCAAGGCGACGAUACAUAGGGGGACUGAGAGGUUAACCCCCCACACUGGUACUGAGACACGGACCAGACUCCUACGGGAGGCAGCAGUGAGGAAUAUUGGUCAAUGGACGCAAGUCUGAACCAGCCAUGCCGCGUGCAGGAUGACGGCUCUAGGAGUUGUAAACUGCUUUUGUACGAGGGUAAACGCAGAUACGUGUAUCUGUCUGGAAGUAUCGUACGAAUAAGGAUCGGCUAACUCCGUG
rnacentral:rRNA from 1 species